UCUUGCGCUUCGAAUGAACUUUGGCCGACAUUGUUCGGAUCUUCGCACCGCCGCGGCGUAGAUCCCGACCGUCUAAUGUCUUUACCGGGCCAUCCUACACCAACAUGUACGUGACCUUUGCAUUAAGCCGUGUGCACCAAAGGUGUCAACAUAAUGGGGAAUUUUAAAUCAUGAUUCCCCCAAUCCUGAAAGAGAAGAAGAUCUGGAUUGAAGAAAAUCCCCACUGUACCUACCAUAUACCUCCCAAAUGGCAGCAAUGUUGCUCAUGCCACCCCACACAUUGGCUCCAAAAGCUGGCAGAUGGACAGGCGGACAGAUGUGUACUCAUCAGCAGACAGCUGGAUUGACCAUCCAUCAAAAGACAGGCAGGUGUUAAGAUAGUUCUACGGUGAGAUGAAAGUACAUUUUUGGGUUGUGGAGAGUGCAAAACGUGGUGAGAAUUUGUGGAUUUAUCCCCACAAAACAUUAAAAAAAGAAUAAUAAUACGGGAGGGCAAACUACAUGAUGCUCAUCACUCUGGGGCUAUUGUGUGUACACAUGCAUGAAGUACGUCAUUGAGGCUAAAUCCAGGCUCACAGAGGAACCACUCAUUGUGUCACCUGCAUGCUCAUUAAAGUUUGUCUUGAUUCAAGAGGUUUGGGUGUCAGUGUAGUGUAGAACCGUCAAAAAUAUGGAUGACAAUAUGGAUAAGUAACAAAAUAAUUAUUGUGGGACAAGUUCGUGACCAUUAGCGCUCAGAGAGGGAGCGCGUCCUUCAAUGUCAACAGGCAUACAUACCCACAACCGCCACCCACUCCUUCCACCUCUCACGGUCCUCUCCUGCCUGACAGCUUAUCAGGACCCUGGCAGACACUCUGAUCGGGGUUGCUGAGCGCAGCCUGUAUGUUUGUUUGCUUCUUAUCCCACCUUGUGGCGUGGCGUGCGGCACAGUGCGCCCCGAGCCCCUCAGUGUACCCUGCAUGGAGGAGAGAGAUAAAACAACAAAAAAAACUGCCAUGAAGAUUGCAGUCAGAAAAGAAGCCGUCAUCACUGGAGGAAUCUGAGUGCCCUUCCCGGAGGAGAGGAGAGAAGAGGAGAGGGGACGCUAAAAAGUUGUUCAGCUUGCCACUGAUAUUCCCUCUGACAGGUGUGCCAGCUAAUUUUCUGAAAGCUUUAACUUACUGAUUUGCUGCCAAACUGUGUUCCUUUCUGUUUUAGUUGUAUUUGCCUUGAGGUUCGGAUGCAGUUUAAAGCUGUUGUGCACAGCUGCCUGGUAAGGAGAGUACAGCAGUGGGAAAGAGUAUAACUUGUUUAAGGGAAUCAUCCCUUUGGGGCUUGCACCACAUCUGGUGCCUUUUGGCAACUUUUGCACAAUAUGAUUUCUCUUAAAUAUUUGAUUGCCUAAUGUUGCAGAGAAAUUUGCAUCUCUAAGUGCUCCAAAAGAGUUGAACCAAUCACUGCAGACCAACGUAUGCACGUAGUUCAUUGUUUAAAGGUGACUGGAGCAUAGAGAGUAAAAAAAAAGUUAGGAUUAGUGUAAAAUCAAUUUGAAUGAAGAGUAAUUUUAAAUUCACAGCAGUACGACGGUGAGAGUAAAGAACAUCUCCCAUUUCAUUUGAAUUUUUCAAAAGAAAAUGCUUUUUGUAUUUCAACUCAAUACAUUAUUUUAUUAGAUUUGGAACGGCAUCGAUUACUCGGUUACUACGCACAGCUGACAACUCGUCCACGCAACGCUUGACAGUAGCUUGAAACAGCUUGACAACAGCACUAGUCCCGCCCAUGGUGCUGAUUGGCUCAAUGACCUUUUAAUUAAAGAGAUGCUGUAUCAUGGCACGAUGCCAGAUGAAUCAGUUGACUCAAACUUGAUGAAGUGUGCAAAUAAAAGCUCCUGGCCUGGGCAAAACUGCUAAACUCUUGACAGUUUCUCCUUUUAACUUUUAUUCAAUCGGGACUGAAAUCUUAAACAUUAUUGUUCAGUCUGGUACUCUGUGUUUGCCUAAAAAUGUCUUAUUCAGCAUACGGUUGUACUUGGACGCAUCACCCUCAGCCAAGCGACUGACAACCAGAAUGCCUCAAACCUGAGGGUGAUGUCACGGUUACUACGUCCAAAUCCUAUAAACAGCCUAUGAGCUUUACACAGCGGACUCCGUCAUUGUGUUAUUGGAAACCCAAAAUGAAAGAACAAUGCUUGUUAAAACAGGGUUAUCUUUUUUAAUGAAAUAAUAGAUGCCUAAUUGAUUAAAGUUUCAUGAGUAUGUGUCUCAGCUGGAUAGCAUGUAUUGUAGUUAAGACUAUGUUUUGUUAAUGUGGUAUACUGUUGAUAAGAUGGAGGUGGUUCAGAGACGGAACUCUGCAUUGACGCCUCUGUCACCAUAAAGCAGAGAACUAUAGACCCGUCUCAGCAGCAAUAUCCAUUGUUGCAAGUACCUAGAUGACAAAAAGUUUCUCUGUGUUUUCUCUGAAUUUAUAUUUGUUAUUUUCAAAUUUAGAAACACAGUUUACCGUCAUUGAAAUGGAACAUAACUCCAAUGUCAAAGCCCCAGAGCUUUUAGUUUAGGGAAUGUGUUAACACACGACCAAUGUCGUUAUUUUUCUGGUGGGGCCACCGUCCAGCUGAUCCCCCUCGUAUGUAAUAUCUAAGUGCUCUCUUACUCUUUAGCCAUUUACUUGGAAAGCAAAGCCGUGUCCAGAACGUUACGUCAUGGUGAAGGUCAGAAGCGAAAUCAGUACAAAAAGAUUUGCAGUACGGAGAAAGGGACGGAAAAAAAGAGCUAGAUAGGCAUAACCAAGCCGAGCGAGGGAAACAGAAAGGGGAAGAGAUGAGAGACAGCGCAGUGCCCGGUGGAGGGAGGAGAGGAGGAGGCAGCGAGUAAAUAGUCAGCGGCUCUAAUAGGAAUAUCAAGGCAGUGAAAGGUAAACAGGCUUCUCCAGGCAGAUACAAAGGAAAUGUGGCGGCUUUGAGAGCGCUGGAGUGCCGGCACGCCACUGUGGCGCUGCGAUAACGGCUGCAGGCCCGCCUGCAUCCCAGAGAUAAGGCCGAGCACUGGCAUGUGUCGCCCCUGAUCCCAAUUUCACAGUCAAUAUUCAUCCAGCUCGACAAACAAGCAACAUUUAAGAUAAAAAAUAAAUAUAGAGUCCUUCUGCUAUUACCUCCUGUUUAUUAAUCUGCACACAGCCCCCACUGCCUUUUAAACAGUGGUAAACACCCCAGCCCUCCCUACCACACCCCAUCUCUCCCUUCAUCAGACUCCCCCCCAAACCCCCCCCACACCCAAACCUCUCCACCUUGUCUUUCCCCUGUCUUCCUGCGGAUCUGUGGAUUUGCAUGGUUCACUUAUUCUUUUGCAAUUGCUGCAGGCGUGUGUGUCUCUUGGUGUCUUGUGUGAUCACACCUGCACAUGAUGUUCUCACUUUAAUAUCUUUAAGAUAUGAGGUUGCCUAGAUGUGCAUGUAUGCUUACUGCAAAAGGUGUUUUUGUUAGCGUGUUUUAAGCAUAUUUCCGUGCAGCGUUUUUGACCUUGCAUGUUAACAGGCCACAGCUGUAUACUUGAAUCAUCCUCUGUCUCCCUCUUAACAUUCUCCGCUCCUCACCUGGCACCCACACUAAAAGAAAAGGGGGUUUUAACAAGGUAUUGAAGCUUUCGUUCCCUUAAAAAAAACGUCCUUCUCUUGACAAAAGUGAUCCGUUUCUUAGAAAAUUGUUGAAUUGUGGAAUAGUCAUAUUCUCUCCUUCCUUUGGAGAGAAUUUCCAGAUUAAGAAAAAAGUAAAAUAUUGUAAUGAAUGACUCAGCAAGGUUGAUUGAUUUUGAAAUUCCGGUCUUAAACUGCAGCUUACAGGCCAGCUGGGCUCUGAUUGCAUCUGAACACUCACAGAGGAGUAAACCAAGUCCUAAGCGGAGCCACUUGGGCCACAGCCGGUUUUAUUCAUUUCGAUGGAGUAAGCACAAAACACUCUCUUCAAUUAGCUUUAUUUGUACCAUGGACCGGUGAGAAAACGGAACGCAGCGGUGAUUGACACGCGUACAUGUUUGGCACGUUACCGCAGCUGGCACAAACCUACCGUA